UUCAUGGAGAGUUUGAUCCUGGCUCAGGACGAACGCUGGCGGCGUGCCUAAUACAUGCAAGUCGAGCGGACAGAUGGGAGCUUGCUCCCUGAUGUUAGCGGCGGACGGGUGAGUAACACGUGGGUAACCUGCCUGUAAGACUGGGAUAACUCCGGGAAACCGGGGCUAAUACCGGAUGCUUGAUUGAACCGCAUGGUUCAAUUAUAAAAGGUGGCUUCGAGCUACCACUUACAGAUGGACCCGCGGCGCAUUAGCUAGUUGGUGAGGUAACGGCUCACCAAGGCAACGAUGCGUAGCCGACCUGAGAGGGUGAUCGGCCACACUGGGACUGAGACACGGCCCAGACU
rnacentral:rRNA from 2 species